AUGGAAAGAGCCGAUUCGUCUUCGAGCGCAAUAAACCAGAGCAGCACAAACCUAGGUUGAUUAUACAGGAAUGGAAUCAUAGAUUGAAGCUUAGGCAAGCCCCUUGAGACUGACUAAGUAAGGAGCAGCGGCUGCCUUUCCUUCUGAUGAGGAUUCGAGUGUACUAAAGAAGGUGCUCUAUUUCCUAUUUUAGGGCUGAAUUACUACUAUAGAGAGAUCCGCCACCCUUCGAGAUGUGGUCAUGUGUUAUGACGGCACUGUAAGAAAUGUCUGCAGCAAUCCAAUCACCCAAUCUGAGUAUGGGGUGAAGGCUGGAACUAAGUCACAGAGUUUAUUCCUUGCUAGUGAACCUGUUGGUCUAUGAUUCCCCGCCUAGAGACUUUAUCAAAGGAAGCGAGAACGCGGGAGACGGGUUAUUCACUCAAUGAAAAAAAAAUUUUACAUUUUGAAUUAUUCCCUGGGCGGGACCAUGCCUUGGAUUUCAAUCCGAGAUCAUCCCUUGGGGUUAGUUCAUUUCAUUUACUGCCCUUCUUUUUCUUUUGCUUGAUGAAAGACAUCCCGUGUAUAUUAGUAAAAAAGGGUACUUUCAUGAGUCCGAUGGCUCUUUGGUGUGCCCUGAAAAUUUGAUUGAUAAAUGGGCUUUUGAAAGUCGAUUUGUCGCAACAAGAGGUAUUGUCUCCGCCUUUUCAAGUAGGGAUCAUCUCUCAAGUGUUUAUGAUCCUCCGUUGCUGCUCGGUAGUGGCCUAAGGCUCAAUGAUUGAUCUUCUGCGCUAAGGCUAGCAUCUCAUCCCAUCUUUCAUCUUAUUGCUUUGAGCUCUCUUCGGUAAAGUGUAAAAGUGUAACCUGCUGCUCCUUGAUUUCACAUAAACAACUGAGUGCCUUCUGCUCUUUUUGGUCUUCUCUUUCUGUGUCUAUUGCUCUCCUGCCCACUCACCACUCACAUUCUCUUUAUCGAAUCCUAUCAAAUCUUUCUAUUUUUUCAUUAGCAUUAUAAAUAAUGGUCUUUCUCGCUAUGGCUCCAUUUAAAGUAUUUGAACAGAUAAAAAUAUUUAAACAGAUAAAAAAGAAUUCAAACAAUCCCGCCUAAUGGUGACUCUCUCUGUCAUUAUAAUUGAAGGUAAGUGGAGGGCGCUCAGGUUACUCUACUAACAAGUGGAGGGGCAUGGUCAACAACAGCAUUGCAUCUGUCUGCUUAGUCAAGUCCCGCAUUAAUCGAUUAAAGAAAGAGGAUUCCCAAUUCAUGGUUACUUUGGGCGUUUUGUGAAAGUAAAGAUCGAGGUUUAAGCCAAUUCCUUCCAAUUCCUUUAUGAGUCUUAAGACUUAUUUAUUCAUUUAGUCUUCCUUGAGGCAGACUUCAUGAUUAGCUUUUUUCUUCUUUUCUUACUUACGCUAAUUGCCCGCUAUGUUGUUGCCCGCAGCUUCCCUCCGUCCCCCUUUUCUUCUUCAUCGUCGUUGGUCCUUUCUAAGGAAAUAAUUCAGUAUGAUUCCCCGACAAAGUCACUCCUGGGGCCUAUAUUCG
rnacentral:misc_RNA from 1 species